rnacentral:rRNA from 1 species
GAUGAACGCUGACAGAAUGCUUAACACAUGCAAGUCUUUGGUGAAGCUGUGCUUGCACAGCCUAGCCAAGGCGGACGGGUGAGUAACGCGUAAGGAACUUGCCCUGCAGUCAGGGAUAACAGACGGAAACGACUGAUAAGACCUGGUAAAGUCAGGCGGACUCAUGUCCAGCCUGAUGAAAAGAGAUGCUGCAGGAGAGCCUUGCGUCCUAUUAGCUUGUUGGUGGGGUAACGGCCCACCAAGGCAAUGAUAGGUAGCCGGCCUGAGAGGGUGGACGGCCACAAGGGGACUGAGAUACGGCCCUUACUCCUACGGGAGGCAGCAGUGGGGAAUAUUGGACAAUGGGGGCAACCCUGAUCCAGCAAUUCUGUGUGCACGAUGAGGGUUUUCGGAUUGUAAAGUGCUUUCAGCAGGGAAGAAAAAAAUGACGGUACCUGCAGAAGAAGCGACGGCUAAAUACGUG